rnacentral:rRNA from 1 species
GCGGGACACGUGGUAUCCUGUCUGAAUAUGGGGGGACCAUCCUCCAAGGCUAAAUACUCCUGACUGACCGAUAGUGAACCAGUACCGUGAGGGAAAGGCGAAAAGAACCCCGGCGAGGGGAGUGAAAAAGAACCUGAAACCGUGUACGUACAAGCAGUGGGAGCCUCUUAAUGGGGUGACUGCGUACCUUUUGUAUAAUGGGUCAGCGACUUAUAUUCUGUAGCAAGGUUAACCGAAUAGGGGAGCCGAAGGGAAACCGAGUCUUAACUGGGCGUUAAGUUGCAGGGUAUAGACCCGAAACCCGGUGAUCUAGCCAUGGGCAGGUUGAAGGUUGGGUAACACUAACUGGAGGACCGAACCGACUAAUGUUGAAAAAUUAGCGGAUGACUUGUGGCUGGGGGUGAAAGGCCAAUCAAACCGGGAGAUAGCUGGUUCUCCCCGAAAGCUAUUUAGGUAGCGCCUCGUGAAUUCAUCUCCGGGGGUAGAGCACUGUUUCGGCAAGGGGGUCAUCCCGACUUACCAACCCGAUGCAAACUGCGAAUACCGGAGAAUGUUAUCACGGGAGACACACGGCGGGUGCUAACGUCCGUCGUGAAGAGGGAAACAACCCAGACCGCCAGCUAAGGUCCCAAAGUCAUGGUUAAGUGGGAAACGAUGUGGGAAGGCCCAGACAGCCAGGAUGUUGGCUUAGAAGCAGCCAUCAUUUAAAGAAAGCGUAAUAGCUCACUGGUCGAGUCGGCCUGCGCGGAAGAUGUAACGGGGCUAAACCAUGCACCGAAGCUGCGGCAGCGACACUAUGUGUUGUUGGGUAGGGGAGCGUUCUGUAAGCCUGUGAAGGUGGCCUGUGAGGGUUGCUGGAGGUAUCAGAAGUGCGAAUGCUGACAUAAGUAACGAUAAAGCGGGUGAAAAGCCCGCUCGCCGGAAGACCAAGGGUUCCUGUCCAACGUUAAUCGGGGCAGGGUGAGUCGACCCCUAAGGCGAGGCCGAAAGGCGUAGUCGAUGGGAAACAGGUUAAUAUUCCUGUACUUGGUGUUACUGCGAAGGGGGGACGGAGAAGGCUAUGUUGGCCGGGCGACG